GGAUGUAAGGGUGAUCGGGUAUGACUUCUGUCACCCUGUGAAUUACAGGUGUCUUCCUCCCUUACAGCUCCAUGUGUGUGUCUCCAGAAAUUGUAAACUUGGUCUAAGAGAAUGACCCUCCCUGAACAGAGGAGGUCUGGUUUGGGGUCAAGGGUACAUGGGUAGCUGUACUCCCCUGCUAGACUCUCAGUACAAGCUCUCAAGGAAAUAGAAGUAAUUGAAGUGAUAUAUAGGCUGAUUCCUUAAGCCCUCCACAAGCUGCCCCCACCCAGAACUUCUUGCCCUUCUCU
rnacentral:snRNA from 1 species